AAUGAACGCUGGCGGCAUGCCUAACACAUGCAAGUCGAACGGCAGCACAGUAAGAGCUUGCGCUUACGGGUGGCGAGUGUCGGACCGUUCCGUUAUACAUCGGAAUCUACUUUUUCGUGGGUGCUAACGUCGGGAAACUUACUCUGAUAACGCAUACGACCUACUGGGGUGAGCAGGGGAUCUUUGGGCCUUGCGGGAGUGUAUGAGCCGAUGUCGGAUUAGCUAGUUAGCGGGGUAAAGGGCUACGAAGGCGACGAUCCGUAGCUGGUCUGAGAGGAUGAUCAGCCACACUGGAACUGAGACACGGCCCAGACUCCUACGGGAGGCAGCAGUGGGGAAUAUUGGGCAAGGGGGGAAAGCCUGAUCCAGCCAUACCGCGUGAGUGAAGAAGGACUUCGGGUUGUAAAGCGCUUUUGUUGGGAAAGAAAUGCAGCAGGUUAAUACCCCGCGGUUAUGACGGUACCGGAAGAAUAAGCACCGGCUAACUCCGUG
rnacentral:rRNA from 1 species